UACGAGGGGGGCGAGCGUUGUUCGGAAUUAUUGGGCGUAAAGGGUGCGUAGGCGGUUUGGUAAGUCUUGUGUGAAAUCUACAGGCUCAACUUGUAGUCUGCACGAGAAACUGCCGGGCUUGAGUGUGGGAGAGGUGAGUGGAAUUCCUGGUGUAGCGGUGAAAUGCGUAGAUAUCAGGAGGAAUACCGAUGGCGAAGGCAGGUCUCUGGGCUGACACUGACGCUCAUGCACGAAAGCGUGGGGAGCAAACAGG
rnacentral:rRNA from 1 species